rnacentral:rRNA from 1 species
GACGAACGCUGGCGGCGUGCCUAAUACAUGCAAGUUGAGCGCUGAAGGUUGGUACUUGUACCAACUGGAUGAGCAGCGAACGGGUGAGUAACGCGUGGGGAAUCUGCCUUUGAGCGGGGGACAACAUUUGGAAACGAAUGCUAAUACCGCAUAAAAACUUUAAACACAAGUUUUAAGUUUGAAAGAUGCAAUUGCAUCACUCAAAGAUGAUCCCGCGUUGUAUUAGCUAGUUGGUGAGGUAAAGGCUCACCAAGGCGAUGAUACAUAGCCGACCUGAGAGGGUGCUCGGCCACCUUGGGACUGAGGCCCGGCCCAAACCCCUACGGGAGGCAGCAGUAGGGUAUCUUCGGCAAUAGACGCAAGUCUGACCGAGCCACGCCGCGUGAGUGAAGAAGGUUUUCGGAUCGUAAAACUCUGUUGGUAGAGAAGAACGUUGGUGAGAGUGGAAAGCUCAUCAAGUGACGGUACCUCCCCAGAAAGGGACGGCUAACUACGUG